GUGUUCGUAGAAAGGAGAGACGGUUGGCAUCUCCCCUGACAGGGACGGGAACAGUCUUAGGACUUUCCUCCAGCACAUUGCGGUUAAGGCUACCCGCUUCGGCGGAUCUUACCCAAAUUUUUUU
rfam:Oryza glaberrima chromosome 4 Oglab04_0243_1, whole genome shotgun sequence.